UACGGGGGGGCAAGCGUUGUUCGGAAUUACUGGGCGUAAAGGGUCUGUAGGUGGCCAACUAAGUCAGACGUGAAAUCCCUCAGCUUAACUGGGGAACUGCGUCUGAUACUGGUUGGCUUGAGUGCAGGAGAGGAAUGCGGAAUUCCAGGUGUAGCGGUGAAAUGCGUAGAUAUCUGGAGGAACACCGGUGGCGAAGGCGGCAUUCUGGACUGCAACUGACGCUGAAAGACGAAAGCCAGGGGAGCAAACGGG
rnacentral:rRNA from 1 species